rnacentral:rRNA from 1 species
ACACAUGCAAGUCGAGGGGCAGCACAGGGUAGCAAUACUUGGGUGGCGACCGGCGCACGGGUGAGUAACGCGUAUGCAACUUACCUAUCAGAGGGGGAUAGCCCGGCGAAAGUCGGAUUAAUACCCCAUGAAACAGGGGUCCCGCAUGGGAAUAUUUGUUAAAGAUUCAUCGCUGAUAGAUAGGCAUGCGUUCCAUUAGGCAGUUGGCGGGGUAACGGCCCACCAAACCGACGAUGGAUAGGGGUUCUGAGAGGAAGGUCCCCCACAUUGGUACUGAGACACGGACCAAACUCCUACGGGAGGCAGCAGUGAGGAAUAUUGGUCAAUGGCCGAGAGGCUGAACCAGCCAAGUCGCGUGAAGGAAGAAGGAUCUAUGGUUUGUAAACUUCUUUUAUAGGGGAAUAAAGUGGAGGACGUGUCCUUUUUUGUAUGUACCCUAUGAAUAAGCAUCGGCUAACUCCGUGCCAGCAGCCGCGGUAAUACGGAGGAUGCGAGCGUUAUCCGGAUUUAUUGGGUUUAAAGGGUGCGUAGGUGGUGAUUUAAGUCAGCGGUGAAAGUUUGUGGCUCAACCAUAAAAUUGCCGUUGAAACUGGGUUACUUGAGUGUGUUUGAGGUAGGCGGAAUGCGUGGUGUAGCGGUGAAAUGCAUAGAUAUCACGCAGAACUCCGAUUGCGAAGGCAGCUUACUAAACCAUAACUGACACUGAAGCACGAAAGCGUGGGG